rnacentral:tRNA from 1 species
UGACUUUUAGUCAAAUUUGACGUGCUGAUUUCGGCUCAGUGAGAAUGGUGGAUAGUACCAUAAAAGUUUU